CAAAAUCAAAUUAUCUUACCAUAAUAUGACAUACAUUUUGUUGACAAAGCAUAACUAUCGACUGAACUCCGCUCAGAAUCGUUUUUUCGUUAACAAUGGUUUUAUCGUUGCUUACAGGUGUACAUUAAAUUCCCUCCUAUAUCCUACCUUACCAACUACCCGCCCACAACAGUGUGGCUGCACCCGUCCCCGUUAUCCUAGGACAGCUUUUUUUAUUUUUUUAUAACAUACGCGAUGAAACGCCAUCCGCAACUGCAGUUCGUGCGGCGGAAUAACAUUCGAAAUAUCCCAUAUUAUGCGUAGAAGAACGCAUUAUUAUUCGUUAUUACGUCGCGUACAAUUCUGCUCAUUAUUAUAUUCAUUUCGUUAUUAUAGGUACGUCGUCUCAAAUACCACGUGCUCAUUAUCCGCCUAUAAUACACAUUGAAAUGUACGCGUGUAUAUUGUGAAUAAUAUACCUGAA